GUAGGUGGCAAGCGUUGUCCGGGAAUUAUUGGGGCGUAAAGCGCGCGCAGGCGGGUUUUUUAAGUCUGAUGUGAAAGCCCACGGGCUCAACCGUGGAGGGUCAUUGGAAACUGGAGAACUUGAGUACAGAAGAGGAAAGCGGAAUUCCACGUGUAGCGGUGAAAUGCGUAGAGAUGUGGAGGAACACCAGUGGCGAAGGCGGCUUUCUGGUCUGUAACUGACGCUGAGGCGCGAAAGCGUGGGGAGCAAACAGGAUUAGAUACCCUGGUAGUCCACGCCGUAAACGAUGAGUGCUAAGUGCUAGGGGGUUUCCGCCCCUUAGUGCUGCAGCUAACGCAUUAAGCACUCCGCCUGGGGAGUACGGCCGCAAAGGCUG
rnacentral:rRNA from 1 species